UGGGCCGUUCAUCCUUGUUA
rnacentral:siRNA from 1 species